rnacentral:rRNA from 1 species
GAUGAACGCUAGCGGGAGGCCUAACACAUGCAAGCCGAGCGGUAUUGUUUCUUCGGAAAUGAGAGAGCGGCGUACGGGUGCGUAACACGUGCGCAACCUGCCUUUAUCUGGGGGAUAGCCUUUCGAAAGGAAGAUCAAUCCUCCAUAAUAUAUUGAACGGCAUCGUUUAAUAUUGAAAGCUCUGGCGGCUAGAGAUGGGCACGCGCAAGAUUAGCUAGUUGGUGAGGUAACGGAUCACCAAGGCGAUGAUCUUUAGGGGGCCUGAGAGGGUGAUCCCCCACACUGGUACUGAGACACGGACCAGACUCCUACGGGAGGCAGCAGUGAGGAAUAUUGGUCAAUGGGUGCAAGCCUGAACCAGCCAUCCCGCGUGAAGGACGACUGCCCUAUGGGUUGUAAACUUCUUUUGUAUAGGGAUAAACCUACCCUCGUGAGGGUAGCUGAAGGUACUAUACGAAUAAGCACCGGCUAACUCCGUGCCAGCAGCCGCCGUAA